UACGGAGGGUGCGAGCGUUGUCCGGAAUCACUGGGCGUAAAGGGCGCGUAGGCGGCGCGAGCAGUCCAUGGUGAAAGCCCGAGGCUCAACUUCGGGUCGGCCAAGGAUACUCUCGUGCUCGAGCACUGUAGAGGCAGAUGGAAUUCCGGGUGUAGCGGUGGAAUGCGUAGAGAUCCGGAAGAACACCGGUGGCGAAGGCGGUCUGCUGGGCAGUGGCUGACGCUGAGGCGCGACAGCGUGGGGAGCAAACAGG
rnacentral:rRNA from 1 species